UACGGAGGAUCCGAGCGUUAUCCGGAUUUAUUGGGUUUAAAGGGUGCGUAGGCGGCCUGUUAAGUCAGGGGUGAAAGACGGUAGCUCAACUAUCGCAGUGCCCUUGAUACUGAUGGGCUUGAAUGUACUAGAGGUAGGCGGAAUGUGACAAGUAGCGGUGAAAUGCAUAGAUAUGUCACAGAACACCAAUUGCGAAGGCAGCUUACUAUGGUAUUAUUGACGCUGAGGCACGAAAGCGUGGGGAUCAAACAGG
rnacentral:rRNA from 1 species